CCUGGCUCAGAUUGAACGCUGGCGGCAGGCCUAACACAUGCAAGUCGAGCGGUAGCACAGAGAGCUUGCUCUCGGGUGACGAGCGGCGGACGGGUGAGUAAUGUCUGGGAAACUGCCUGAUGGAGGGGGAUAACUACUGGAAACGGUAGCUAAUACCGCAUAAUGUCGCAAGACCAAAGUGGGGGACCUUCGGGCCUCAUGCCAUCAGAUGUGCCCAGAUGGGAUUAGCUAGUAGGUGGGGUAACGGCUCACCUAGGCGACGAUCCCUAGCUGGUCUGAGAGGAUGACCAGCCACACUGGAACUGAGACACGGUCCAGACUCCUACGGGAGGCAGCAGUGGGGAAUAUUGCACAAUGGGCGCAAGCCUGAUGCAGCCAUGCCGCGUGUGUGAAGAAGGCCUUCGGGUUGUAAAGCACUUUCAGCGGGGAGGAAGGCGUUAAGGUUAAUAACCUUGUCGAUUGACGUUACCCGCAGAAGAAGCACCGGCUAACUCCGUGCCAGCAGCCGCGGUAAUACGGAGGGUGCAAGCGUUAAUCGGAAUUACUGGGCGUAAAGCGCACGCAGGCGGUCUGUCAAGUCGGAUGUGAAAUCCCCGGGCUCAACCUGGGAACUGCAUUCGAAACUGGCAGGCUAGAGUCUUGUAGAGGGGGGUAGAAUUCCAGGUGUAGCGGUGAAAUGCGUAGAGAUCUGGAGGAAUACCGGUGGCGAAGGCGGCCCCCUGGACAAAGACUGACGCUCAGGUGCGAAAGCGUGGGGAGCAAACAGGAUUAGAUACCCUGGUAGUCCACGCCGUAAACGAUGUCGAUUUGGAGGUUGUGCCCUUGAGGCGUGGCUUCCGGAGCUAACGCGUUAAAUCGACCGCCUGGGGAGUACGGCCGCAAGGUUAAAACUCAAAUGAAUUGACGGGGGCCCGCACAAGCGGUGGAGCAUGUGGUUUAAUUCGAUGCAACGCGAAGAACCUUACCUGGUCUUGACAUCCACAGAACUUUCCAGAGAUGGAUUGGUGCCUUCGGGAACUGUGAGACAGGUGCUGCAUGGCUGUCGUCAGCUCGUGUUGUGAAAUGUUGGGUUAAGUCCCGCAACGAGCGCAACCCUUAUCCUUUGUUGCCAGCGGUCCGGCCGGGAACUCAAAGGAGACUGCCAGUGAUAAACUGGAGGAAGGUGGGGAUGACGUCAAGUCAUCAUGGCCCUUACGACCAGGGCUACACACGUGCUACAAUGGCAUAUACAAAGAGAAGCGACCUCGCGAGAGCAAGCGGACCUCAUAAAGUAUGUCGUAGUCCGGAUUGGAGUCUGCAACUCGACUCCAUGAAGUCGGAAUCGCUAGUAAUCGUAGAUCAGAAUGCUACGGUGAAUACGUUCCCGGGCCUUGUACACACCGCCCGUCACACCAUGGGAGUGGGUUGCAAAAGAAGUAUGUAGCUUAACCUUCGGGAGGGCGCUUACCACUUUGUGAUUCAUGACUGGGGUGAAGUCGUAACAAGGUAACCGUAGGGGAACCUGCGGC
rnacentral:rRNA from 1 species